UGGGGAAUUGUUCGCAAUGGGCGCAAGCCUGACGACGCAACGCCGCGUGGAGGACGAAGAUCUUCGGGUCGUAAACUCCUUUCGAUCGGGAAGAACGGCCUCUGGGUGAAUAGCCUGGAGGAGUGACGGUACCGAGAGAAGAAGCCCCGGCUAACUCCGUGCCAGCAGCCGCGGUAAUACGGGGGGGGCAAGCGUUGUUCGGAAUUACUGGGCGUAAAGGGCUCGUAGGCGGCCAACUAAGUCCGACGUGAAAUCCCCAGGCUUAACCUGGGAACUGCGUCGGAUACUGGAUGGCUUGAAUUCGGGAGAGGGAUGCAGAAUUCCAGGUGUAGCGGUGAAAUGCGUAGAUAUCUGGAGGAAUACCGGUGGCGAAGGCGGCAUCCUGGACCGACAUUGACGCUGAUGAGCGAAAGCUAGGGGAGCAAACGG
rnacentral:rRNA from 1 species